ACCGCCAGUGGAAAUUCUAUUUUCACUGGCGGUUUUAUAAAGAAAACCGCCAGUGAAAAUAGCAUUUCCACUGGCGGU
rnacentral:pre_miRNA from 7 species